GAUGGAAGACUACCAGAGUGCGGAAGAGACCACUUUUGCUGUUGACGAAGUGAGCAACAUUGUGAAAGAGGCUAUAGAAAGUGCCAUCGGUGGCAACGCCUAUCAGCACAGCCAAGUCAAUCAGUGGACCACAAAUGUCGUAGAACAAACUUUAAGCCAACUCACCAAGCUGGGAAAACCAUUCAAAUACAGUGUGACCUGUAUAAUUAUGCAGAAGAACGGAGCAGGACUACACACGGCGAGUUCUUGCUUCUGGGACAGCUCUACUGACGGGAGCUGCACCGUGCGAUGGGAGAACAAGACCAUGUACUGCAUCGUCAGCGCCUUCGGACUGUCCAUCUGACUGACCUCCUCAUCCCCCCAGGCUCUUUCUCCUCUGUCUCAACAUUUCU